rnacentral:lncRNA from 1 species
UUUUUUUUUUUAAUCUUUUUUCCACCUGCGGGUGGGAGCAGCACGCCUGAUGCCGGGGCUCUCUCUAGCGGCCGGAGCUGAGCAGAGCAGCAGCGCCCCGCACCCCUGGGCUCUGGGCUCCCUGCCGGCAGAUGGGGGCCUGCAGGGCCUGAUCCGGCCCGGGAGCCGUGCUGGGAGCCGUGCUGCUGCCUUGCUCCUUCCAGCCGGAGCCUGGGAGCCCUCUGCUUCUGGUGGCGCUUGGCAGGGAGGUCGGUAAUGGCCUGGUGGCCCCUAGGCUGCUGGUGGCCUGCAGGGCGAGGUUUGGGCCGUUUUGCUAUUGGCGGUGCUGCACUACAGAAGUGUACAGCUUGUGUUAAUUACAGAAAUCACGGGCCAAAAACAUAUUUGUAAAUACAAGUCGCUUGUUUGGCAAAGACAAGCACUCAGAAAUUAGGAAGCGGCGGAACUCGGAUCACCCAGGUGAUGUUAAUUUAGCUCCUUUGCUGCUUGGGCAAGAUCAGGGUCAGGGUUUUCCCCUGGGCCUGUGCCUCGCCCCGGGGUGAGCUGGCUGGGUGACGAGCCGCGACUGCUGCACCUGAACAACUUAAACAUUUAAAAAAAAAAAAAGGCAUUAAAUAAAUAAAUAAAUAAAUAAAUAACUUCCCAAAGAAUGGGGAGCCUUGUUUCCUGACAAGCAGCAAAACCACCUACCCCCAACUCCAGCCUCUUACAAGCUCCUGGCACCCUUCAGCAUCUGGCUCCUUCCUCUUACAGCCAUUUUCACCCAGCCCACUGCCCUGGGACAGGCCCUUUCACACUGGGAAGGAUGAAGGAUGCUUUCUCCCAGCCCUCGGAGGGAUUUAAAGUUCUUUCUGCUUGUGCUGAGAUGGAAAGGAGGCGAAUGGGAAAGACUGCAAUUAAAAUGCCUUUUUUCCUUUGCUCUGUCUUUGGCAAAAUAUGUUCAAGGAAGAUGAGAAACUGUUCCAUUUCAGUGAAGGAAGCACUAACAAUAGAAGUCACAGGAGCUGCAGAAAAUUGGGUUAGAAAGCCCAAGAGUGACUGCCUUUCUUCUGGUUUAAAGGCAGGAUUGGCUCGCCUUGCUGUGGCCACGACAGAUGCUUUUCUAAACUGCUCUUGGAAGAUCUUUGUGGCUGGAGAAUCCAGGUUCCCUAUGCGAGGGCAAUUCCAGUGUUUGUCUGUCCACUUUGCUUGGUUAGACAUCAGCAGUAGUUUCUGAGUUUCCUCUGCUGCUGUCCAAGCCCAUUGCUUGCUGUGGGUCCUGAAGACCUCUGUGAGGGGCUUUGAGAGCUGGAGGCGAGGAGAGGCAGGGACUGAGCGCCGCUGCUCUGAGUGAGGCUAGAGCCUGAGGACUAAGGACAACUUACCUGAAUUCCCCUCUUCAGCCCAUUUGUCCCAGACAAACGUCUCUGGCUGAGGUGGGCAGGCAGCUGCUCUUCGGGUUCAAGAGCAGGAAUAAGCUGAGUUGUCUGUCCCUGCUUGUUAAAGGUGGGUGCAACUGAGGGGGGUGUAACUUGGUCAGAAUUCAUCACCAAAGGUGCACGUGUGCACACAUGCAGGUAUGUGAGUCUCCUUAGAGGUCAGAACUACCCUACACAGCUAAAGUGCUUUGGUUACUUAGAAUAUGAGGAAUUAAAUCAAAUUAUCUCAUUUGUCUAGCUUUUCGGGGUUAGCAGACUAACCUUGUUAAUCUACAGAAAUAUAUACUAUUCCUCCAUAACACUGUACAGUUUCCCUUUUUUAUUAUUAUUUUACCCGUUAGCUGUUCCUAUGUAUGUGUCAGGUGGGUUUGUCCUGCUGUAUUGGUGAAUUUGUUUCCUUUCUGAAACAAAAGUGCAACUGAUGUAAAUGAGUUCCUCAUUUUUCUUUUGGGCAAGAGCCAUCCCAGAGCUGGGGCUGAGCAGCUGCUGCUGCGUCACGUAACGAAAAUCACAGCCCUGCUCUUACAGCUACCCAGAUGAAACCUGCAGCAAAUUAAGGCAGCCCCCAGCCUCUUCAUGCCGUUGCUGCACUGCCAGGAACUGUUAGAUGAUGAAAUGGGAGGAUAAUGGACUCGCCCAGAGGUAUCCCCCACCCCAUCAAAACCCCACUCCUGAGACACGCCUGGAAGGUCGAGGCUGCAGCUCUGCGCUUCGGGAGAUACCUGUGAGCUGCGAGGGGAUUUCUGAAGGGGAGGAGCAAGCCCUUUGCUUAUACCAUCCUUUUCCCCGCUGCGUGAUGAAGAUCUCCCCUAAAUCUGCAUCGCUGUCCUGAAGGUCUGCGGCUCCCCCGGGAGGGACGCGCAGCUGCGGGGACAGCGGCAGUCACGCGCCGGCUGGGAGAUGGACCUGAACGGGAUUGAUUGCUCUCGGGUUCAUCCUUUAAAACUGAGUGGCAGGCUAAGCUGUUGUUUCAAUCAAUAACAUAAAUACGCUGUUCGCCCAGCCCUGGGAAGGUGGGAACUCUGUGUGGGGGAGUAGGCAUUAAGGUUAUUUAUCGUCACAGGGCGCAGAAGUGAAAUACUGGGCUUCCCUGGCAGAUUAGAGAUUUAAAGCUCAUUUAAACCCACUUUUGGAAUCUAAUUAAACAGGGACAAAUUCCUCUGAACACCCUUGCUUUACUGCAAAAACGGCUUAUUCUUCAUCUAGGAAUUUAUAGCACUUUCGUUAACUCGACACAAAGGCCAAAUUUGCUUGAUAAUCAGGUAUAGGUUAUACCGCAAAACCUUAACGUCUCAUCUCGGCACUACUUCGUUAGGAUGGCCACAAAUAGCCCCGCCAGGGACGGGAGGAGCCCUGCAGCACUGAGCCUGAACGCAGCGUGGUAACUGUGCAGACAGAGCCUUUCCUCAGCCGCUGCUCACACCUACGGGAGGAGGUUUCUGUAGCUUGGAUCACGGCAGAUGGGUGGUGGCAGCUUUCACGGAGGAAACCUCACGCCUUAGCAGCAGAACUUGUAGCCAGAAUAAAUUCUGAGUGUGCUUGGAUGUGCCUCCCCA